AUGCCAGACUCCUACGGGAGGCAGCAGUGAGGAAUAUUGGUCAAUGGGCUUACGCCUGAACCAGCCAAGUCGCGUGAGGGAAGACUGCCCUAUGGGUUGUAAACCUCUUUUGUCAGGGAGCAACGCCGGCUACGUGUAGCCGGACUGAGAGUACCUGAAGAAAAAGCAUCGGCUAACUCCGUGCCAGCAGCCGCGGUAAUACGUAGGUGACAAGCGUUGUCCGGAUUUACUGGGUGUAAAGGGCGCGUAGGCGGAUGUGCAAGUCAGUCGUGAAAUACCGGGGCUCAACCCCGGGGCUGCGAUUGAAACUGCACACCUUGAGUAUCGGAGAGGAAAGCGGAAUUCCUAGUGUAGCGGUGAAAUGCGUAGAUAUUAGGAGGAACACCAGUGGCGAAGGCGGCUUUCUGGACGACAACUGACGCUGAGGCGCGAAAGUGUGGGGAGCAAACAGGAUUAGAUACCCCCGUACAA
rnacentral:rRNA from 1 species